CAUGUUUUUUCUUCCAAUCUUGAGAAAAAAAAUAUUAAAUAAAGAGAUAAUUUUCAACAAUUGUAAUCCUCAGAGUGAUUAUGACUGUCAUCAUGAUUACAAAAUGUGAAAUGUGUGAAUAUGGCCGGAGGCAGGGCUCUGUCUAGUGGAGCAGUUAAGAGUUCUGGAAUCAAAUACACUUAGCUUUGGGUCCAAGCUCUGUGAGGUCAGCGUUGAUAUCAUUUCAAUGGUGGGAGAGAUACCGAGGCCGGGGAAGGUGAAGCAAUUUUCCCUAGAGUGCCCUGCAAAUACGUAGCAAAAAGUGAUCUCAGAGGCCUGGUAACUGGGUUUAAACAUUCCCUUUCCCUUACAGAGCAACAACCUUGGAAUUCGUAGAAAAUUGGAUGUCAGUUUCAAAUCUUGUUCCCUGUAUUGCAGAGGCACCAGUGUCACGUGAUUCAGGGUUGAUGUCCAGCCCAGAGCAUGGCUGUCCCGAAGGUGUCAUAGCAGUAGUGGCCCUCUGGAGCUGUUGUUUCCUCUAGGAAGAAAUACAGCCUUUUAGGAGUCUCAUAGAACUUCUUAGAUCCUACUGUUGAAGUCUGUGGCUCCUCUCUGGUGCAAUGGAUCCUGGGAAGAUGUGGCACAGAAGCCAUGUUGACUGUUCUUGCUGCCACGGGAACACUUAUCAGGAACCCCUUCAUUAUUCCGCCGAAAAAAAGUUUAUUGCACACCUGGAUGCCUUCUACAACUAUUCUGAUGAGACUCUGGCACACGUUAUUCCCACAUUUUCCAAGGCUCUUCAAGGCGCCAAGCCCUGGUAUGUGCUGUUCCCUUUCCUGGUUGUUCUCUACAACCCUUUCCACCCUUUAAAACCGCUCUCGAAUAUCACUUCCUCUGCAAAGCCUGCCAGAGAACUGCCAUCUUUGCAUGCAUCACAUUGCACGGUAAUUGUUUGUUUACACAUCUGUUUCCUCAACUAG
rnacentral:lncRNA from 1 species